CAGGCAGGCAGGCAGGCAGGCAGCCAGGCAAAGGCAGUGCAAUGUAAAACCGCCGGAGGAGAAGAAAACACGCUGCCAGAUGAGACGACAAAUUACACGGGAACGUCAGAAUGAAGCCCGUAACUGUACGCUGUACGCUGCAUAUGGACCUGCAAAUCAAUCACAAAUUCCAUCCUUACACUAAUUGAAGUCUAUGGCAUAUCCGAUCGAUACUUUCCCAUGCCAAUCGAGAUUACCUGAGAGGGAGCA